GCAGCCCCACGCACCGUCACAAACACCUCGGAGCGCUGUGCAGGGCACCCCACGGCUGCUCCCUGGGGAAACCGUGCAGGGGUCCAGGUCUCUGGCACCCAUCCCUGGUCGGGAAAGAGACCAUCAUCCUGUAAUGCAGACCUGGCGCGCCCGGCCACACACCUCCCGUUUGUGCGCUGACUUGAGAUCUGAUUUGGAUUCUGUUCUCCACUAAGUCCGGUAACCUAACUUACUGCCGAGUGCUUGCUGGGUGCUGGGCAUGAAUGUCCCGACGCACCCUGGGACGUUAUCAUGUCCCCUCCACAGAUGAAGAAACCGAUGCGCUCAUGGAGGAAGGUCUCAAGUUUCAAUCCACUUUGCUCACGUCCGAUUCUUUAACCUCGUGUUUACUGGUAGCGACACACACACACACACACGAAUCUAAAUCCCUAAAAGGACACACACACAAACACGAAUCUAAAUCCCUAAAAGGCCACGACUUCCGUAGAGGAGUAAGAGAUGCGGGAGCAAAGCGCCAAGGUGGUUUCCCGAGACCUACUGGGAAGUUCUGCUCCUAACCACGCACUGAAGAUGGUGGCUCUUCUUCCUUUAGGGGAAACCUCAUCCAGCAGAAAAGCAGAGAUGCUUUUGACUUUCAAGAGUCAAUACUUUGGCAUUGCAAGAGCCUUUGAGUUUCAAAAGUAGAAGUCCCAGACCAGGUGCCCCAGUCGCCCACUGAAAAGGUGCCGGGAUCUAUGCAAUUUCCCGUGUGGUGACUGUGCCGGCUGAAACAGCGGUGCUGAGAUUCGUGGCGCUUUUCUGCCCGGGAAUCUCCCAGUCUGGCUCCCGGCUUCAGUCCCCCUCCCAAUCAGCUGAAUGGGUGACUGCCUUCUUGGAGCUCCAAAUGCCAACUAAAAGGGCACCCAGUCCUGCAUAGUCUGCUCUGAGAAUCGCCGCACCGGCCGAAAGAGUCACGCUGGCAACCUGUGGGGCUCCUGCGCUGGGAAUCUCCUGGUCCGUAAGCGACAAAAACUCAUCUGGAAGUCUGGCGUCCACGCUCUCCUUGCGCCUUCACUGGGAGCUGCAACCCUGAGCUGCUACUAGACAGCCAUCUUGGAUCUCUCUCCUCUCUUCCUGCCUUUUCUACCAGUCUCUCCUUCCUACCAUCUAAACUGUCCCAAUCUCCUCCCCUGCAGAAAAGUCUCCCAGUAUUGACACAGCAGAGUGCACGGUUCUUUGUACCUACUUGAUAAUGACCAUAAACCCUGAACCAACAGUGUACCUGCUCUGACCCUACCUGUCAUUGUGUCUACUUGGGUGGAAGUUCAGUAUUACACAAUGUUGUCUAGGUAGCAGUUGUCUUUGUGGUGACUCUGAGAUCUUUAGAUCAGGGUUUUGCAGCUUUGGCACCACUGGCAUUCAGGCUGGGCAACUCUUUGUUGUUACCUGUCUGCUGCAUUGCAGGAUGCCAAACAGCUUCCCUGGCUCUACUCACCAGUUGCCAGGAGCACCCUCCUCCCCAGCUGUGACAACCAAAAUGCCUCUAGACAUUUGCCAACUGUUUCCCCUGAUAGCAGGGGAACCAGCCCCAGUUAAGAACUGCUGCUUAGCUGGGCACAGUGGCUCACAUCUGUAAUCCCAACACUUUGGGAGGCUGAGGUGGGUGGAUCACUUCAGGCCAGGGGUUUGAGACCAGCCUGGCAUGGCAAAACCCGAUCUUUACAAGAACAAAAAUUAGCUGGGUGUGGUGGUAGGUGCCUGUAGUCCCAGCUACUUGGGAGACUGAGGCGAGAGGAUUGCUUGAACUUGGGAGAUUGAGGCUGCAGUGAGCUGAGGUGGUGCCAUUGCACUCCAGCCUGGGUGACAGACGGAGAUCCUGUCUAAAAAAUAAAAACCAACCAAACAGAAGAACUGUUGCCUAAAACAUUGAAUGCGGGAUCCUCGGCAUUGAUGUCCAGGAUGGUUUGAUGUCCAGGAGGAUAGACAGCAAAUGUAGUCAGAAAAUCAGUGGUCUUGAGGUCUAAAGACCUGGGUUCAAGCCCCAGUUCCAUCACUUCCUGCUUGUGUGAUUUUGAGCAAGACAUAUAGCUUUUCUGAGCUUCAGUUUCCCUAUAUGUGUAUUGGGGAAUAAUAAAUGAUUCUGUGUUUGUUUUGUUCACUGCAAUACUCCCAAUACCUAGAAUAACGCGGGGCACAUAGGAAGUGCUCAAUGCAGAUGGGUUGACUGAUUAACUCUAUCUCUGCUCCACCUCCCCCACCCCCAGAGCUUCUGCAGGGUUCAAAUGCAAAAGUUUGUAAGAACUUCCAUGAUGGAGGCGUUGCAGGAAAUACUUCAUCCCAUUCAAAUUCAGAGAAACAACAGCCACCAGCUGAUAGCUGACAUUUUCUAAAUUAAUUUUAUAAACCAUAAAGAUUUGUAAUAGUCAAAAACUGGGAACAAACCAAAUGUCUUUCAAUGGUAAAUGGUAAAACUGUGGUACAUCUAUACCAUGGAAUACUACACAGCACACACACCCACAAAUCGGCCUGGCAGGAUUGCUCACACCUGUAAUUCUAACAUUUUGGGAGGUGAAGGAGGGUUGAUGACUUGAGGUAAGGAGUUGGAGCCCAGCCUGGCCAACAUGGCAAAACCCCAUCUCUACUAAAAAUACAAAAAAUUAGCUGGUUGUGGUGGCACACACCUGUAAUUCCUGCUUCUUGAGAGGCUGAGGCUUGAGAAUUGCUUGAGCCCGGGAGGCAAAGGUUGCAGAGAGCUGAGAUCGUCACGCUGCACUCCAGUCUGGGUGACAGAGCAAGACUCUAUCUCAAAAAACAAAACAAAACCCCUAAGUGGUUGAUAGAUGCAACAACCUGGAUAGAUUUGAAGGGAAUUGUGCUGAGUAAAGAAACAGCAAUCUCAGAAGGUUACAUACUCUAUGAUUCUAUUUAUAUAAUAUUCUUGAACCAAAUUUUACAGAUGAAGAACAUUGCCAGGGGUUGGGGAUGAAGGUGGCCAUGGUGUGGUCACCUGAGGGAGCUCGUGUUGAUGGAACAGUUCUGUAUUUUUAAAACACGUUUUAUUUUUAAUUUUUAUAGUUAUAUAACGUAUAUAUUUAUGGGAUGUAUGAGAUAUUUUGAUACAUGCAUACAAUGUGUAAUAAUCACGUCAUGGUGAAUGGGGUCUCCAUUGCCUCAAGCAUGUCUCAUUUCUUUGUGUUAUGAACAUUCUGAUUCUCAUGUUUUAGUUAUUUUAAACUGUACUAUAAAUUAUUGUUGACCGUAGUCAACCUGUUGUGCUAUCAAAUACAAGAUCUUAUUCGUUCGUUUAUCUCAUUCAAACUAUAUUUUUGUACCCGUUACCCACCCGUCUUCCCCGUCACUCCCCAUUGCCCAUCCUACUGUCUGAUAACCAUCAUUCUACUCUGUCUCUAUGAGUUCAAUUGUUUUUUUUGUUUUUAUUUUUUGAGACGGAGUCUCGCUGUAUCGCCAGGCUGGAGUGCAGUGGUGCUAUCCCCGCUCACUGCAACUUCUGUUUUCUGGUUUCAAGCAAUUCUCCUGCCUCAGCCUCCUGAGUAGCUGGGACUAUAGGCACGCACCAGCACACCCGGAAAAUUUUUUCUAUUUUUAGUAGAGACGGGGUUUCACAAUGUUGGCCAGGAUGGUCUCCAUCUCUCGAUCUCAUGAUCUACCUGCCUUAGCCUCCCCAAGUGCUAGGAUUAUGGGUGUGCACCACCACGCCUGGCCUAUUUUAAUUGUUUUAAUUUUUAGCUCCCACAAAUGAGUGAGAAGAUGUGAAGUUUCUCUUUCUGUGCCUCACUUAUUUCACUUAACAAAAUGACCUCCAGUUCCAAUUAUGUUUUUUGCAAAGGACAGGAUCUCAUCCUUUUUCAUGGCUGAAUAGUACUCCAUUGUGUAUGUGCACUGCAUUGUCUUUAUCCAUUCAUCUGUUGAUGGACACUAAGGUUGAUUCCAAAUCUUGGCUAUUGUGAAUAGUGCUUCAGUAAACAUGGGCGUGCAGAUAUCUCUUUAAUAUACUGA